AUAAUUAAGCGGAGGAAAAGAAAACAAAGGUGAUUUCCUUAGUAACGGCGAGUGAAAAGGAAAAAGUCCAUCACAAAGGUAGUUGAGCAGAAAUGUUCAACUACGGUGCUGUGUUACCUGUUCAAGUGCURACACAAGWGSRRRUGUUUGCAAAUCCCUCUGACAAGGGUACAUCAUCCAUAGCCGGUGCUAGGCCGAUAGCGAACACUKAAACUUGUGUCUACUUGGGCAGGAAAGAGUUAGUUUGCUUGAGAGUGCAAACUGAAGGAGGAGGUAAACUUCUCCUAAGACUAAAUAUUCUGGUAAUACCGAUAGCAAACAAGUACCGUGAGGGAAAGUUGCAAAGAACUUUGAAGAGAGAGUUCAAAAGGACGUGAAACUGUUUCCAGGGAAAUGGUUGGAACCACGAAGUGUAACUGAGUCCAGGAAUUCAGUUYUUUCAAUGUAAAGGGUACGCUUGGUGAACAUGUAUUCAUUUCUGUGGGUAUAUCAUCAGGUUACCAAAAGCUUUGCACUGGAGAAUGCAUUUUCCUAAGACUCGUGUUCGAACCUCGACUGAUGGGAGGAUCAUGUAUUGGUCUGUUCUCCUGGUUCAACUGGGAGAACMAAUCAUUCGGCUGCAGKAUAACCAGAGUGAAGGUAACUUURCUUUGGGUAAAUGCAGUUGGAUGUUGUCAAUAUCAUAAACUCCUAUCAGGAAGUGAAAACUCUCAUUUAUUGAGGGUCCACAUARAGUGGACUUGGGCUGCUGUUCCUUGAUAUGCUGCAUUUUCGUAAUGCUGUGGGCACAUUGUGUUCAGAGAAUAUGUGGAGUGUGGUUAUCAAAUAGGGAGCGGYAGUUCCAGGCCUGCUGUUGUAACAUCUGAGGUUAGUAGGUCGGUCAUCCAACCGUCCCGUCUUGAAACACGGACCAAGGAGUCUAAUUUAUGCGCGAGUCAAAGAGUCUUGUUYAGGCUUUUAGGCACAAUAAAUGUAACAUUACUGUGAUAUGAAUGUGAGCUCUKGUGGCUUGASUGYUGCAAGACUUGCUUCAAUAUCAGCCCGUUUUAAAAGGUCUCUAUCCUUUGUAACGGAGUUUGAGCGCAUAAAUUGGUACCCGAAAGAUGGUGAGCUAUGCCCGGGCAAGAUGAAGCCAGAGGAAACUCUGGUGGAGGUCUGUAGCGGUUCUGACGUGCAAAUCGAUCGUCAGACCUGGGUAUAGGGGCGAAAGACUAAUCGAACCAUCUAGUAGCUGGUUCCCUCUGAAGUUUCCCUCAGGAUAGCUGGCACUAGGAUAAAAUUAGUAGCAUCCGGUAGAGCGAAUGAUUAGAGGUCUUGGGGUCAAAAUGACCUCAACCUAUUCUCAAACUUCUAAUGGGUGCGAUGCUUAACUUUCUUAACUAUGAAGUUGAGCCAUUUUAUAAACAGUGCUUAGUGGGCCGUUUUUGGUAAGCAGAACUGGCGCUGUGGGAUGAACCAAACGUUGAGUUAAGGUGCCCGAUGCUUUUUCAAACGCUCAUGAGAUCCCAUGAAAGGUGUUAGUUGCUAAAGACAGCAGGACGGUGGCCAUGGAAGUCGGAAUCCGCUAAGGAGUGUGUAACAACUCACCUGCCGAAGCAACUAGCCCUGAAAAUGGAUGGCGCUUAAGCGUUGAACCUAUACUCAACUGUGAGGUUAAUCUAUUGCAGAAAAUAAAACCUCACAAGUAAGAGGGCCGCAGUGAUAGCGUUGAAGGUGUCAGACGUAGGYCUGCCUGGAGCUAUCAACUGUUGCAGAUCUUGGUGGUAGUAGCAAUUACUCAAGUGAGAACCUUGAGGACCAAAGUGGAGAAGGGUUCCAUGUGAACAGUAGUUGAACAUGGGUCAGUCGGUCCUAAGAGAUGCGGAGAAAUCCGUACCAAAGUCCUCAGUUAGUUAGUUAUGUACUUGACUACUCUCUGUCUGUUGACUGUGGAAUAUCUCGAAAGGGAAUUGGGUUAAUAUUCCCAAACCUAGACAUGGAGAUAGCCUUCUCGGAGGCAAAUGCGGUAACGCAAACAAGUUCGGAGACACUGCCAAAAGUCCUGGGGAGAGUUGUCUUUUCUUUGUAAGGAUCUUUGUCCCUGGAAUCGGUUUGACCGGAGAUAGGGAUAACAGAACCGUAAAGCACAGCGGAUCUUGCUGUGUCCAGAGCGCUUUUGGUGGUCCUUGAAAAUCUGAACUUGAUGUUAUUAUUUUCAUGCUAGGCCGUACCCAUAUCCGCAGCAGGUCUCCAAGGUGAACAGCCUCUGGUCUCUAGAAUAAUGUAGUUAAGGGAAGUCGGCAAAACUGAUCCGUAACUUCGGGAUAAGGAUUGGCUCUGAAGACUGAGUUGGUCGGGCUGUGGUCUGAAAUAAGGUGUACGCUGWACCGAGACUGGAUAAGUGGGAAGUGAAGUUGAUGUUGUUCUGCAAUGGAGGCUYGACUUUYUUKCUUGUCCGGACUUGUGUCUGUGUUAUCUUAUCGAUAGCCUCAGCUAGGCUUCUGAGGGAAAUUUUGCCUGU
rnacentral:rRNA from 1 species